rnacentral:rRNA from 1 species
ACCGGGGAGGGUCAUUGGAAACUGGGGAACUUGAGUGCAGAAGAGGAGAGUGGAAUUCCACGUGUAGCGGUGAAAUGCGUAGAGAUGUGGAGNGAACACCAGNUGGCGAAGGCGACUCUCUGGUCUGUAACUGACGCUGAGGAGCGAAAGCGUGGGGAGCGAACAGGAUUAGAUACCCUGGUAGUCCACGCCGUAAACGAUGAGUGCUAAGUGUUAGGGGGUUUCCGCCCCUUAGUGCUGCAGCUAACGCAUUAAGCACUCCGCCUGGGGAGUACGGUCGCAAGACUGAAACUCAAAGGAAUUGACGGGGGCCCGCACAAGCGGUGGAGCAUGUGGUUUAAUUCGAAGCAACGCGAAGAACCUUACCAGGUCUUGACAUCCUCUGACAAUCCUAGAGAUAGGACGUCCCCUUCGGGGGCAGAGUGACAGGUGGUGCAUGGUUGUCGUCAGCUCGUGUCGUGAGAUGUUGGGUUAAGUCCCGCAACGAGCGCAACCCUUGAUCUUAGUUGCCAGCAUUCAGUUGGGCACUCUAAGGUGACUGCCGGUGACAAACCNGGAGGAAGGUGGGGAUGACGUCAAAUCAUCAUGCCCCUUAUGACCNUGGGCUACACACGUGCUACAAUGGACAGAACAAAGGGCAGCGAAACCGCGAGGUUAAGCCAANUCCCACAAAUCUGUUCUCAGUUCGGAUCGCAGUCUGCAACUCGACUGCGUGAAGCUGGAAUCGCUAGUAAUCGCGGAUCAGCAUGCCGCGGUGAAUNACGUUCCCGGGNCCUUGUACNACACCGNCCCGUCACACCACGAGAGUUUGUAANCACCCGAAGUCGGUGNAGGUAAC